rnacentral:rRNA from 1 species
UGAGUAACACGUGAGUGACCUGCCUUUUAGACUGGAACAACUUACCGAAAGGUGAGCUAAUGCCGGAUGAGUUAUAUAAGUGCAUGUUUAUAUAGGAAAAGUUGGGGAGACCUGACGCUGAAAGAUGGACUCGCGUCCCAUUAGCUAGUUGGUAGGGUAAUGGCCUACCAAGGCGACGAUGGGUAGCCGGCCUGAGAGGGUGGCCGGCCACAUUGGGACUGAGACACGGCCCAGACUCCUACGGGAGGCAGCAG